ACGAACGCUGGCGGCGCGCCUAACACAUGCAAGUCGAACGGAGAUGAUAAAAGCUUGCUUUGAUCAUCUUAGUGGCGGACGGGUGAGUAACACGUGAGCAACCUGCCUUUCAGAGGGGGAUAACGUUUGGAAACGAACGCUAAUACCGCAUAACGUAUACGGAUGGCAUCAACUGUAUACCAAAGGAGCAAUCCGCUGAAAGAUGGGCUCGCGUCCGAUUAGCUAGAUGGUGAGGUAACGGCCCACCAUGGCGACGAUCGGUAGCCGGACUGAGAGGUUGACCGGCCACAUUGGGACUGAGACACGGCCCAGACUCCUACGGGAGGCAGCAGUGAGGGAUAUUGGGCAAUGGGGGAAACCCUGACCCAGCGACGCCGCGUGAGGGAAGACGGUCUUCGGAUUGUAAACCUCUGUCUUUGGGGACGAAAAAGGACGGUACCCAAGGAGGAAGCUCCGGCUAACUACGUGCCAGCAGCCGCGGUAAUACGUAGGGAGCGAGCGUUGUCCGGAAUUACUGGGUGUAAAGGGAGCGUAGGCGGGAAGGCAAGUUGGAUGUGAAAACUGUGGGCUCAACCGACAGACUGCAUUCAAAACUGUUUUUCUUGAGUGAAGUAGAGGCAAGCGGAAUUCCUAGUGUAGCGGUGAAAUGCGUAGAUAUUAGGAGGAACACCAGUGGCGAAGGCGGCUUGCUGGGCUUUUACUGACGCUGAGGCUCGAAAGUGUGGGGAGCAAACAGGAUUAGAUACCCUGGUAGUCCACACAGUAAACGAUGAAUACUCGCUGUUGGCGAUAUACAGUCAGCGGCCAAGCGAAAGCAUUAAGUAUUCCACCUGGGGAGUACGCCGGCAACGGUGAAACUCAAAGGAAUUGACGGGGGCCCGCACAAGCAGUGGAGUAUGUGGUUUAAUUCGAAGCAACGCGAAGAACCUUACCAGGUCUUGACAUCGUGCGCAUAGUCUAGAGAUAGAUGAAGUCUUUCGGGACGCAUAGACAGGUGGUGCAUGGUUGUCGUCAGCUCGUGUCGUGAGAUGUUGGGUUAAGUCCCGCAACGAGCGCAACCCUUACGAUUAGUUGCUACGCAAGAGCACUCUAAUAGGACUGCCGUUGACAAAACGGAGGAAGGUGGGGAUGACGUCAAAUCAUCAUGCCCCUUAUGACCUGGGCCACACACGUACUACAAUGGCAAUGACAGAGGGAAGCAAGAUAGCGAUAUGGAGCAAACCCCUAAACAUUGUCUCAGUUCGGAUUGCAGGCUGCAACCCGCCUGCAUGAAGCCGGAAUUGCUAGUAAUCGCGGAUCAGCAUGCCGCGGUGAAUACGUUCCCGGGCCUUGUACACACCGCCCGUCACACCAUGGGAGUCGGUAACACCCGAAGCCAAUAGUCUAACCGCAAGGAGGACGUUGUCGAAGGUGGGAUUGAUGACUGGGGUG
rnacentral:rRNA from 1 species